rnacentral:rRNA from 1 species
CCUACGGGAGGCAGCAGUGAGGAAUAUUGGUCAAUGGGCGCGAGCCUGAACCAGCCAAGUAGCGUGAAGGAUGACUGCCCUACGGGUUGUAAACCUCUUUUAUCAAGGAAUAAAGUGAGGCACGUGUGCCUUUUUGUAUGUACUUUAUGAAUAAGCAUCGGCUAACUCCGUGCCAGCAGCCGCGGUAAUACGGAGGAUCCGAGCGUUAUCCGGAUUUAUUGGGUUUAAAGGGGGCGGAGAUGGGUUGUUAAGUCAGGUGUGAAAGUUUGGGGCUCAACCGUAGAAGUGCAAUUGAUACUGGCAGCCUGGAGUAGAGUAGAGGUAGGCGGAAUGCGUGGUGUAGCGGUGAAAUGCUUAGAUAUCACGAAGAACUCCGAUUGCGAAGGCAGCCUACUAAACUGCCACUGACGUUGAGGCACGAAAGUGUGGGUAUCGAACAGGAUUAGAUACCCUAGUAGUC